UACGUAGGGUGCAAGCGUUAAUCGAAAUUACUGGGCGUAAAGCGUGCGCAGGCGGUUUUGUAAGUCUGUCGUGAAAGCCCCGGGCCCAACCUGGGAAUUGCGAUGGAGACUGCAAGGCUUGAAUCUGGCAGAGGGGGGUAGAAUUCCACGUGUAGCAGUGAAAUGCGUAGAGAUGUGGAGGAACACCGAUGGCGAAGGCAGCCCCCUGGGUCAAGAUUGACGCUCAUGCACGAAAGCGUGGGGAGCAAACAGG
rnacentral:rRNA from 1 species